rnacentral:rRNA from 1 species
UGGGGAAUCUUGGACAAUGGGCGCAAGCCUGAUCCAGCCAUACCGCGUGGGUGAAGAAGGCCUUCGGGUUGUAAAGCCCUUUUGUUGGGAAAGAAAUCCAGCUGGCUAAUACCCGGUUGGGAUGACGGUACCCAAAGAAUAAGCACCGGCUAACUUCGUGCCAGCAGCCGCGGUAAUACGAAGGGUGCAAGCGUUACUCGGAAUUACUGGGCGUAAAGCGUGCGUAGGUGGUCGUUUAAGUCCGUUGUGAAAGCCCUGGGCUCAACCUGGGAACUGCAGUGGAUACUGGGCGACUAGAGUGUGGUAGAGGGUAGCGGAAUUCCUGGUGUAGCAGUGAAUGCGUAGAGAUCAGGAGGAACAUCCAUGGCGAAGGCAGCUACCUGGACCAACACUGACACUGAGGCACGAAAGCGUGGGG